ACUCCUACGGGAGGCAGCAACUAGGAAUCAUGCGCAAUGGGGGCAACCCUGACGCUGCGACGUCGCGUGGAGGACGACGGUCUUCGGAUUGUAAACUCCUUUUAUAUGGGAAGAAUGAAUGACGGUACCAUAUGAAUAAGCACCUGCUAACUACGUGCCAGAAGCAUCGGUGAUGCGUAGGGUGCGAACGUUAUCCGGAUUUACUGGGCGUAAAGAGAUGCGUAGGCGUCUUUGUAAGUCUUAUGUUAAAUAUCCAGGCUCAACCUGGAAACAGCAUCGGAUACUGCAAGGAUUGAGUAAGAAAGGGGUAAGCGGAAUUCCCGGUGGAGUGGUGAAAUACGUUGAUAUCGGGAGGAACACCAAUGGCGAAGGCAGCUUACUGGUUCUUUACUGACGCUAAGGCUCGAAAGCGUGGGGAGCAAAACGGAUUAGAUACCCUGGUAGGCUCU
rnacentral:rRNA from 1 species